AGUAAAAGUCGUAACAAGGUUUCCGUAGGUGAACCUGCGGAAGGAUCAUUACCGAGAGUUGCAGGCUUUUGUCUGCCAUCUCUUACCCAUGUCUUUUGCGUACUACACGUUUCCUCGGCAGGCCCGCCUGCCGUUAGGACCCCAUUAAACCAUUUGCAGUUGCAGUCAGCGUCUGAAAAACUUAAUAACUACAACUUUUAACAACGGAUCUCUUGGUUCUGGCAUCGAUGAAGAACGCAGCGAAAUGCGAUAAGUAGUGUGAAUUGCAGAAUUCAGUGAAUCAUCGAAUCUUUGAACGCACAUUGCGCCCUAUGGUAUUCCAUAGGGCAUGCCUGUUCGAGCGUCAUUUGUACCUUCAAGCUCUGCUUGGUGUUGGGUGUUUGUCCCGCCUUUGUGCGCGGACUCGCCUUAAAGCAAUUGGCAGCCGACGUCUAGGUUUCGGAGCGCAGCACAAAUCGCGCUCUGUGUCCUGGUACGGCGGCGUCCAUCAAGACUAUUUUACACUCUUGACCUCGGAUCAGGUAGGGAUACCCGCUGAACUUAAGCAUAUCAAUAAGCGGAGGAAAAGAAACCAACAGGGAUUGCCCUAGUAACG
rnacentral:rRNA from 1 species